AACGCUAGCUACAGGCUUAACACAUGCAAGUCGAGGGGCAGCACAAGAGAUUAGCUUGCUAAACUCUGGUGGCGACCGGCGGAUGGGUGAGUAACACGUAUGCAACCUUCCUAUAACUUGUGCAUAACCCGAAGAAAUUCGGACUAAUUCACAAUAACAUGAUAUUCUCGCAUGAGAAUAUCCUUAAAGAUUUAUCGGUUAUAGAUGGGCAUGCGCUCCAUUAGUUUGUUGGUGAGGUAACGGCUCACCAAGGCAUCGAUGGAUAGGGGAACCGAGAGGUUUGUCCCCCACACUGGGACUGAGACACGGCCCAGACUCCUACGGGAGGCAGCAGUGAGGAAUAUUGGUCAAUGAGGGAAACCUUGAACCAGCCAAGUCGCGUGAAGGAUGACUGUCCAAUGGAUUGUAAACUUCUUUUAUACAGGAAUAACCAUGGUCACGUGUGGCCAUCUGCAUGUACUGUAUGAAUAAGGGUCGGCUAACUUCGUGCCAGCAGCCGCGGUAAUACGAAGGACCCGAGCGUUAUCCGGAUUUAUUGGGUUUAAAGGGUGCGCAGGCGGGAGAUUAAGUCGGUGGUGAAAUUUUGCGGCUCAACCGUAAGAGUGCCAUCGAAACUGGUUUUCUUGAGUGUAGAUGAAGUAGGCGGAAUUUGUGGUGUAGCGGUGAAAUGCAUAGAUAUCACGAAGAACUCCGAUUG
rnacentral:rRNA from 1 species